CAGCCCUCCAACUGCACGUGGCUGUGUUUGCAGCCUCUCUCCCACCCCUCCCCAAAGCCACACAGCUGCGGGAAGCAGUGUGGGAGGAAACAGAAGGGGUCACACCCCCCUGUCUCCUGCAAAGUUACACCUGUGUCUCAUGGACCCUGCCACCUGUUGCCCAGCUGAAGUUCCUGACCACAAGGAAUCUGUGUAUUGUUUUUCCUCUUUGGCAAACAAGAAAGUAAUAGCUCAAAGAAUAUUAGUAAUAAUGGCCCGACCUGGAGAUGGUAACCUGGAGAUGCCAAGACAUCUGCUGGAGCCCUUUACACAACAGGUAACCCUUUCAAAGCAUGGGCAAGAAGAAGGCGUCCAGCAUCCUCUGUAGCUCUCUCAAGUCUAGCCAUGCAUCUUCAGCUUCAGACUCCAAGCUGCCUGUGUGCUGUCCAGCGGGCUCCCCUGACCAUGGGCCUCUGUCCCACACCCUUUUCUGAGUGGUCAGGUAUCCUCAGGGACAAUCCCUAAGAUGGGUGUCCGCCUGGCUCUUUGCCACUCUGACUCUAGUUUCAUUUGGUGUGUGUUUCGGGCUCCCCUGAGGACCCAGAGAACAUGUGUAUGAGGUGGAAGUGGGGUUUCUGGAGGCACUUCUUGUUGGGUGUACCCAGUUUCCACAGAAAGCCGGGGAGCCUCUCCUGGUUGUCAGCCGGAAGAGGAGAAGGUGAAACUGAGGGGAAAGAAUGGACUAUUUUCGGGCUGGUGCCUGGAGUGUGGGUGUGAAGGAGGACAGAGGUUUGCCUGCAGAGAAU